GCUGUAAAAAGUUUGGCCUUCAAAAGUCAACAUAAUCAUUGACUUUAUACAGAAAAUUCGCCUUUUUAAAACAUUGAAUGUAUCACGAAUAAUAGCGACAAAAAAGUAAAAUCAUUUCUUAAACACUGCCAAAAAUCAUUCUGAUUGAUACAGUGGUAUUGUCAUAAAUUGCGCUGGAGUGAACAGUGGUACAGCAAACGUCGAAUUCCCUCACAC
rnacentral:lncRNA from 1 species